UGCUGAAAGUGAAGUUUCAUAUCUUCCACUGUAGCGUUUCCUUUGUUCUGGGGGAGGGGAGCAGGCACGAGGCCUUGGCCUUGACCCUGGCUCUCCGGCACACCCUGGGUGCUGGGCCAGGACUGGAAAAGGAAACUGAAUUAUUAGGACGUCACCUGGACUCUCUUGCAUCAGGCAGACCAGGCAGAGGGGCCGCAGCACGCCCUCCGCUCCGUCUGUGCCUUUCGGGGGCGCGGGCGGCUCUCGGAACCCGGUCGGGCUGUGUCCCGCGCCUCCCUCCAGCCCUUCUGUGUCAGGCCUCUCCACUCAGGAAGCCAGGCUCUGUGGCUAGAGCCCGUGGUGUGGACCAGCCCGUGAUCUCAGGCGCUCUCUCUCUUAUGCAACUAAGUCUGUGAGACAGACUCUGAAUCUGGUCUCUUUCCAGGCUGUGCUGGUCCGCGAGGUGAUGGUCAGGGGCCCCCUCGCUACCUCUGGGGUUGCGCCCUGUCACCGCGGUGCCUGGAUGGGUGGUCAGCGCUGGGGGGAGGGCCUCGUCGGCCUUGGCCAGCCGUUUUCUGGACAGGCCGCACCUCUGGGAGUGACAACCAGCCUCUGAGCGUCUGAGUCUCUGGCUGAAGCCUCACUGCUUCUCCCCCUCGUGCCUGAGGCCCCAGGCUGGGCCUUGGAAGGGUCUGAAGGAAGGACGCGCGCUGGCCUGUCUCCUCGGCCCACUUGCAGGGCGUCAGCUCCUCUGCUUCCCUGCGCUGAGCAAAUCGUGUGCAUGUUAGCGCCACUCGGGGCAAAAGGCAGCUGGAAUCCCACUUCCAAGCCUGUGGACCCCACCAAGGUGUGUGUGAACUGCCAGCGUGGAGGGGAGCAGCUCGUCUCCGUCUCCAGGUUUCUGGCCCUGGAGCAGGCUUCUCCCACCCAGACGGACACAGACAGAGGGGCUUCCCAGCUUCCAGGCCACCGUGUGCCUCCGAAGGGAAAACCUCGGGGACUCAGCAGCUGGGCCAGUAGGGAGUGGGCCCCUGGUUCCAUCCACUGGGUGAGCGCUGGCGUCCUGGCCUCCAGCACCACCCCUGACUCUGGACGUGGCGGCCAGCGGUCAUAGGUGGUCCUGCCCCUGUCGGGGCCCAGUUACAAGUACAGAGCGUGGUCCCCAUUACUGAGUUUUAAGGCAGGUUUCAGCACCUCGGAGGGUGUGUCUCCUGACCUUGUAGGAAGGCAGCUGUGGCGGCAGAACGAGGCCGCUGAAAGGACCGGGCGUCGGGGCCCAGGGCCAGCGCCUGUCCUGACCCGCCGUGCGGCCGUCUGUGAAAGGGGGCUGGGUCGGUGGUCCUCAGGACCCCUUCUUGGCUUGAGAGUCUGUGGUUUGUUGAUUCCUAGGGAGACCAGAACAUUUCUCGCUCAGAGUUUUUGCUCUAACUUCAAAAAUUCUUUUCUUCUCAUUAAGAUGGCUUAAGAGUGUGUCAAGGUGGGAAAGUGAAUUCAGUCUGGAGGGUAGUGGCCGUCCCUCCUGAUGGCCUGGUGAGAAUAUGCAAACCCGCGGGGGUGGAAACACGGCCUCUGGAUGAGUGGUUCUCAUGGGAGGGGCCCGGCUCCUGGCGUCCAGACGGCAGACCCGCUGUGUUUCUCCCCACCGGCCACUCAGCUCUGCCUUAAGCACCAGAGGGCCUUCCUCGAGGAAACCCCAGCCUUUAGUUUUGUGGGGCUGUCGCAAGCCGAGGUCCCUCCCCUGAGCAGGGCUGCAGGGAGUUCACACCAAAGGCUGCAGGACCGAGCAGCCCCCGGGGAGGAGGGGGAGGGCCAGGGUCUGGGGCCCGCAUCCCUCAGCUUUGCUCGGCCCCCCGGAUGGGUGUGUAGACUGUGUCAAGGAUGGCCACUGAUCGCUUGUGCUCUGAUUAGAUUGGGCAGUAGAUCAGCUUCACUGCGGCCCCGGGAACCGUCGUUGUCACAGCUGCUUGGGGGUGAGGUGGGCUCGGGAGAAUCUGGACCGGCCGGUGGCCGCGUAGCAGGCGAUGCAGCCCCUCCUGUGAGGGUCGUGGUCGGACGUCAGGUUGAGGAGGGGUCCUGGGAGCCCCUCCUUGGGAAGCACAUGUAGAGACAGACACGGCUGAGGGUUGGCCUGAUGCUGCCUUAGGAGGUUUCGAGCUUUGGGGGUCACUCUUGCUUCUAGCCUGUGUGCACACGCGUGUUUGCUACAUGGAGAUUUCAAAAUGCAGUCUCAUCACCCAGUUUCAUCCAAGUGUGUUACUCUGUUAACUCAUAUCUUUUGCUUCCCCCCUCCAUUCCCCAGAGGGCUUCUCUCUGAGCUUCUUCUCCAAUUAAUCUGCUUAUCAUUUGGGACUGGGAAUCUGCCAGAGUGACCUUUUCUGUUACUUCUCCAGAUUUUCCCCUAAUGCUCCCAGCAAACUUUUCCUGGGUGGCCCUUUAAGGUGACCUCACGAUGCUCCUGUCUUUGCAAAAUAAACACACCUUUCACCCUCCCGCCUACUCUCAUCUUCCUCCCCAUUAAUUUUUUGCUUUUCUCACUUGGAGCUGGUGGUGCUUUAGAGGAGAGAUUGUCCACGAAUCAGCCCCGACUCUUCCGGUUGCAAAGCUGACUGGCUGUGCCACUUCCCCCUCGAAGGUGAGGUUUGGCCCUAGCCUGGGCGGGGCCCAUGGGCAGCCUGGCCUCGUCUGCGCAGCUAGAGACUGAGUGAGUCCUCAGGAGGGCACCAGGCAGUGUCGGUGCGUCUGGGACAGUGGCUCAUCUGCUGUUGCCUUGCAGGAGCGGGUUCAGGAAAGGCAGGGCCCCGGGGGCCUCGUUGAAGCCUCGAUGGUCUCACAGAAGCAGGACUCGGGGUGGGGGCAGGUCCUGGACGUGGGGUGCUAGGCUGGCCUCUGAGCCUGACCUGCGUCCUCUCUCCAUACCGCGCUCUUCUGGGGAGGGGGCUCGGAGGGAAAGGCGAGGGGCUCAAGCCAAGACAGCAGGAGGUGGGCCACAGGGGUGGGGGUCCCCUUGCACCCCUGAAAGGCUGGGGCUGCUGUCAGGCUGGCCCCCAGGUGGGGGAGGGUGAGACUGUGUCCCCAUGUCCCGCCAUGGGGGAGUCUGACUCAGGCUGCAGCGCCGUGGUCCCCCCUCGUCCCCCUCCGUUCCCUCUGCCUCUGUCUUGAUCGGUGGAAAGAGCCGUGAGACCCUCCCUGGGGUCUCCACACCCCCAUUCCAGGGGUAGCAUUUUGUCUCUGUUCACCUUACCCCCACCUGACUUCCCCUCCAAGAAAGCACCAGAGGGACCGUUUGAAGUCGGCUCCGUUGUAAAUACACGUGGUGGGGAUAGGGGUUUAGGGAGGGACCCAGAUGCGCUUUGUGAGCUGAAUGUAUUUUUAUGCAAUUCUGAGUGGCCUUUCAACUCUGAGAUGAAUGAUCUUGUUUUACUGGUUAUUAUAUAGUAUUAUUAAGUAUUCUGUGUUUGAAAGUUUGGGAAUAAUAAUAUCCACAUCUACAUGAUGCCUGUAAACACAACAGUAUUUAUAAAUAAGUAAAUUGUGUUUUAACUUUGUGACUGUCUCCACAGUUUAGGAAAUGGGGUUUAUAGAACCUUACAUAGGGCCAGCCUGUGGUAGUUUCAUGUCACCAUCCUUGCCACUGGGGGCCUCUGUCCCAGGGACGGCCACAGGGGCCAAGGAGGAGCCUGGGGGGCUCCCAGCCUCGGGGGUGGGCACUGGUGCUCUCACCCCGGGCGGCCGGGGCCCUGAGAAGGUGGCUUCCUUGGGUUCCCGGGGUCUCUGCCCGCUGCUCUGUGCAGCACUGUCUCUGCAGGGCCACCGCUCGGUUCAGGGCAGCCGGAACCGCUCCAUGGCUCCGAACUCUAAAGGCAGCUGGUGGGGGUCACUGGAGGCUAAGGUGCUCGGCCGCUGGCAGGGGGGCCAGGGUCGGGCCCUCCGUCCGUCCUAGUGCACCCCAUCUGGUUUGCUCAGACCCAUUCACACCCAGCGGAGGCCCCGUCACCGAGCUGGAGGUCGCGGAGGUGAGGGAGGGAGGCGUCUUCUCCCCUGCGGCCACCCGGCUGCUGGCCUGCGGCCCAAAUCGGAGGCAAAGGAUCAGGUCUGGAGUGAGGGCUUCUCUGGGUGCCCGCUGGGCCCGGGCAGUCAGCGGAGACUGGGCAUCGCCUGGAGGUGGUGAGGCCCGGCCCUUCCCUCCUGAAGACUCCCCAGCCCUCGUGCUGAGCUGGCCUUGCCCCCCUCAUUCCCAGCCUCUGCCAGGCCAACCUUACAGGCUCUGCCUUCUCGUCCCUGGAGCUUGGCCCUGAGCCGGACGCCCCGCUCCACCUGCGGCAGAGGGGCUGCGGGGGCCUCCCUGCGGAGACGGCCCCCAGAUCGCAGUGAGGACGGGUCACCCUUCCAGGUAUGGGGGCGGUGCUGCCCUACCGUCUCUUUCCAGAAAAUCCUGAAGCCCCGUCCUCGGCCUCAGGAGUCACAGACGUCUGAAGAAGUCGGCUGCGGUGAGCUAACCGAGGGCUUGUAGGAACCGUCCCUCCUCUGACCCCACCCCAGGGCCAGACGGUGGCCGCGCCCCGAGCCCGGCUCUGCUGGCAGUGGGGAGCCGGGGGUCUAGUCCACCCCAGCAGCUGCCCUGAGGGCCCACGCGCCCACCGCCCAGCCGGACCUGGCCUGGCCUUCUGGUUCCUCCAGCCCCCGAGGGAAGAGCCGUGUCCCCAGCCUCACCCCCCGCGCGGACCCUGGGGCGGCUCCUGCUCCCCAGCCCCGCAGGAACCACCAGAGACCGCCCCCAGCGUGCUUUCAGCUCAUUCCUUUAAUAAGGAGAUGCCGCUUAUUACAAAAGAACACGUUGACAAGAGAUGAGACAAGAACAGAGUCCACGGGGCGGGGGGGUGGGUGCUGGACAUGGGUCCUUCCUGGGACGGCGAAGGCAGGGGUCCUGGUGGGGCUGCGCGUGCCAGGGGGCCUGGGGCCUGCCCGCCAUGCUCUUGCAGUCUUCAGACCCCAGGAUUUCAGAAGCAGCGGAUCCCGCCCUCGGAGAGGAAGCGCCAGGGCAGAACGUCUGGCUUCUCGGAAGGGGUCCUGGGGUCCCGAUGGCUGAGGGGGGCCCUAUGCACCCCCGGCUCCCGCCACCCCCCCAGCACAAGGGGCCUGGCUCGUAGCGCACAGGGCCCGCCUGCCCACCUGCGGCCUCGGCGGCGCUCCUGUCAGACCCCCUGCAUUUCCCCCUCCUCCCAUCAGGGCUGGCCGGAGGGGUCGCUCCCGUGCGUGGCGUUCCUCUGCACCGGGGCCUGCGGCUACUGUCCCUCCUGGUUCAGCGAGAUGGCUCGGGACCUGGGGCCCCCUUCUACCUCCCGCCCUCCCAUGGGACACCUGGCCGGGGCUGGGCCGGGGCGCUGGCGAGGGUCCCUCGUAGCCAGAGCCGCCCAGCCGCAGGAGAGAGCAUGCGGGGGAGCUUGGCCUACUGUGCUCUCCAGCCCCCAGGGUCCCUCCCCACUGCCACCCUUGGCCCCCCAAGCCCCCAGUGUCACGUGAGCAGGGCUGGUUGUCCACCCGGGCGGCAUUGGGGACCUGACCACAGACCCGGCCACCAACAGCUCCUGAGAACCCUCGUCGCCUGCACGGGCUACCCCCAUGGCCCAUCCACCCCCCGACGUGGAGUCGGACCGCAACACCAGGUGAGGGAGCCGGGCCAGCGGGGGCAUCUGCUGGGGCCCCACUGGGAGACCUGGACACCAUCCGUCCUCGCAACGUGGGGCUGGGAGCAGAGGUGACGAUGGGUGAGCCCUUCACGAGUGUCCUGAGGGGAGCCCUGGGAGGAUGGCCCCGCAGGGGCCCCUGUAUGGCUUUUCAGUGAAUUCAGAGAGUGGGAGGAGGGGGCACACCACACACACACACACAGGGCACAGGGCUGGACGCAGGGCGCCGAGGGUCAGCUCUGCCCACGGUCCCCUGGUCAGACCUGGGCCAGAGGCCAACUCCCCCCCGGCGCGUGGCAGGGCAGGGGGGCCGGGAGGGCGAGGGGAAGGACUUUACACACAGAGUCGAAGGAGCAGUUCAAGUUGUGUAAAACGGGGCUGGGGGCACUCAGCAUUGCCAUGCGGUUAUUUACACAGAGUUGAGACAUGCAUCUUGGUGGGAUGAGACUGGGGUCGUGUUCACAGGUGACCACCCUCUCCGUGAGGCUCAAAUGGCUUCAGAAGGUUCUUGUUGUCGCUUAAAAAAUAUAUUCUUGUGUCUUCAAGUCACAGUGUCCCCCUUCCCAGUAUUGCAGCUCAAAGAAUGGGUAGAAUCCUGGUGACCUGUCCCUGCCCCGAGGCUCGGGGUGAGAGCGAGGCAGCAGUGGUCGCAGGACUGGCCUGCCAGACAGAGCAUGGACGGCGGGGCAGCCUGAGUUUUGGACUUUGGGAGUGAAAACGCACAGCCUGGAGGCCUCCAGAACCCCUCGUAGCCAACCUUAGUUCUGGCCCACUCAGGGCAGGAUGCCGACACGCCAGAAACGAGCCUGGUGGCAGUGAAGGUGCUCUGUGGACUGGCCCGGGCCCUAGGACCAGCCCACAGUCUUCGUCAGGUCCCAGCUUCUCGGCAUCAAGUGAAGAAUGACUUCCUGAGGACCAAGGGCCACGGGCAAGCCUGAGCCCCACUGCCCAGCUGCUGCUCCUGGAGGAGACGGCUUCUUACCACCUGCCCGGCCAGGAAACGCAGCCGGGCAGGAACACAUGCCUGCUCCUUUCUGACAGUGAAAGAGACGUCCCUCUGCCUCAGGCUGCAGGUUUGGAAGGAGACUCGGUGCACACUGGACUAACGUAUAUAUGGCUUUUUAUCGAUGCUGGGGACACGAGGUGAGCGGGGAACGAGCACAGUGACCGCGGGGCAGAACCCGGCCCACGUCCUCCGCCACCGCUCGGAAUGGCCGCCCUGCUCCUCGGGAUUCACAGCAAGUCCCUCGGGAGUGCUGGGCGGGGGCCUCCCCGCAGGACCCCUGGGAAAACUCAGCUAGCUGUCCACUACCCUCCCCUCCUUACCUGGGCCUCAGGGGAGCUAAGAACCUGUAAACCUUCCUUUUCAAGCCCUCUGGCCCUGAACGGAUACCGUGUCUUCAGACAGCGCAGCUCCACUUUGAUUAAGGGAGAAGCACAGGCGGGAGGGGAAGAGAUGCCAGUGACUGCUGGCUUCCGUCCUAGAAAGGGAGCCGACAUCUGGGUCUCCCACCGCAAGGGCAAAGGCCCGGCAGUUUCAUUUUGGCCUUUCUGGGAAGCGGGUCUUCUGUUUCUUUGCGGUUUGACAUCACCCGUCAGCAAGGUGAGGUCGCGGGAUGGACAGUCCCCGUUCAAGUCCAGCCAGUCUAGCCUAUAGCUCAGGUCUGUGGUGUCCCGGGAAGCCCCCGGCAGCAGGAGGAGGUCCACGCCGGCACCGGGCUUUGGUCCUGGCUCUGCACAGUCCAGUCUCCCCGUCUCGCCUCCCAAACAAACAAACAGCCACUCCCACACAGCGUGGGAGUUCCCCAGUCUGAGCAGGGUUCUAAGCCCUCUGCUCCCACAAGGCACCCUGUCCGCGGCCCUCCACGAGCACAGGGGAUGCGCACACACGCACGGAUCCCUGGCCGCUGGCUGCCUUCCGUCAGGAGUCAGGAGGUGCUGCCAUUGCGUUGGUCCGGAACGCUCAGAAAACAGAAAAUGCCACCACUUUCUGCCGAGAGAGCCUCCCUCGGGGUAAGGGCUGGGCGGAGCUUUGGAGGAGGAGGGUGGCGGGCAUGCAGCGAGGAAGCUCCCGGGGCGACGACGGGCCAGGCUUCUCUCACCUCCGAGGGGCCCUCCUCAGCCGCCGUUGGAGGGAGGGGGUCUUUAGAAAGAGGACGAGGGCAGAGGAGCGAGGGCACGGCCGCACACGGGUGGGCAGGGACGCCUCGAGGGCUGCCCAGCUGAGGCAGCAGCGGCUCUGGCCGCGGCCCCUACUUGUUCUUGCCCAGCAGCGCGUCCACCUCCUCCUCGGGCUUCAGUGAGUGCCACUGGGCGAUGGGCCGGCGGGGGUUGGCCAGCAUGUCGGACCAGUGCCGCAGCUCCGUGCCCGUGGCGCUGCUGCCCACGAAGAUCUUGCCGAUGGCUUCGUUCUUGCCCAGCUUGUCGUAAUCCAGCACGGUGACCACCACCUGGACUUUCUGCAGGGGGCAAAGGGAAGGGCAGUGGGCAGGAGAAGGGCCCGGCGGCCGGCCCCUCCCUCCCCAGCUCUAACUGGGCGGGCAGGCACACAGAGGUGGGGCCCGUGCCUCUGACGCAUUCUUCGCUUCUACCAACGACUGAACACAGGCCCCCGGCAGCGUGCUGAGCGCCUGGGAGCAGAAGGGCAGACGCAUCCUCGCAAGGUGACAAAGGUCACACCCGAGAGGCCAGCAGGAGGCACCUCGGGACCUCAGAGGGAGUGACGUCCGGCUGGUGAGUUAGGGCAGGCUUCACGGAGGAAGUGACCUGGACUGGGGGGUGGAGGGGCAGCAGGGGCAGGUGGGCGUCCACCGCCUCAGCGGCUGCAGCCUCUCCACACACACGCCCUGCCACCACCUCGCGGCCAAAAGGAGGUGUCUGUGAGCAGCUCCCGCUCACCUCCCCAGAAAAGGGGCGGGCUGGGAAGUGCCGGGCAUGGCCGGCCGGCCGUCUGUAGCAGUCAGUGGGGGAGGCCACCCGCCCCACGUCCACCCCUGCCAGCCCAGCACCUGGAUCUGCUCGAAGGGGAUCUCGAAGCUGAAGGACUCGUUGAAGUACGGGUUCAGGGUCUUCUUCUUCACUGUCGUCUUCUUCUUCUUGAGCCUCUUGCCGUUCUGCAUCAGGUGGAUCUUCACGUAGGGGUCUGUGCGGAGGCAGCCGGCGAGGCCCUGAGCACGCGCCCGGCCCGCCAGCCCAGGGACGGCAGAGCCAGCUUCCGGGCCAGGGCGGCCAGAGGCUUCACCUCUGGGACCCGCCAUGGCUGUGGCCGCCUGGAGCUCGGGGCUCUGCUGGGACGGGCCGGCGCUCAGUGAGGAGCCAGGGGGCCACUUGGUGGUGUCCGUCCUGGGCAGGGGGCACGUCAGCGACCCACCCCAUCCCAUCCUCCCGACCUUGUCAAUGAGCAACGAGGCCCAGAGAAGGGCACCCGUCUGCCCGAGGUCACACGGGGGCUCAGGGACAGAGCUGGGCUGGCGGGAACCUGAGCAGUUCAGGAGGCCGGGCAGUCGCACCCCCCAGCCCCGCCCAGAGCCCCUUCCAAGGCAGGGCCACCCCCAUCUCCCCCGCCCCCGGUAGAAGGGCCCGCGUCAGGCCGAGCCCUCCCACCGCCUGCCCUCCCUGUCCCUGCCUCACCUGGGGGUGACGUCCCUGACCCCUUCCCUCCAGAGCCCACAGGGAGAGCAGCAGAAAGGCAGCUCUCAGCGGGGCUCCCCGCCCCGUCCUGCCCUGAGGACCCAAAGCCGCUCAGACAGCCUGUGUGUCCCGCGCAUCUGAGGCCUGCUAUCCAGGUCGAGGGCUCUGGGCCGCGACCGGCUGGCAGGUGCCCCCGAUGGCGGCCAGAAGCCACGCACACACCUGAAAGGCCACCCACGUCCAUCUUCUUGAGGUUCUUGGCCUCCAGGAUGCAGACGGUGAGCUUCCCAGCCGUGGGCACGUAGCGCAACGAGGUGCAGAUGUCACCCAGCUUCUCCGGCUGUCGGGGGAAGGGGACGCGGUCAGCGCAGCAGCGCCUGUGUCCAGCACAGCUGACCCCCUCGGGGCCUCGGCCAGGGGGGGCACAGCCCUGGCCGUGACAGGUGGACACUGCAGUGCCGAGGACAGGCUGCUGGCGGCGUGGGGUUUGCCGGGGCCCCUCCCCAGCCUGGCAGGUGGCGGAGGGGGACGAAGAGGGGAUGCGGGGAGCCCCCCUUCCUGAUCACAGCCAUCCCACUUGCAGAGCGAGCUGCGGUCCUCCAAGCCCUCGGCAUCCCUUUCCUUGUGUUAGCGUCACAGGGCAAGGACCUCGUGACUAGCAAGAGGGGGCUCCUGGGCCCGAGAGCUCGGCCGGCGCCACGGCACAGUCGAGGCUUCUCAGAGGCGGGCCUCGGGACCCAGGCUGGCCGCCUCACCCACAGCCCGGUCAGGGUGCUGACCCUUCCUCCGGGCGACCUGCAUGGACUCGGCCAACACGCCCAGCUGGUGCUGGGAAGGGAUGGGGGCUAAAUGGGGGCUUUGGCACACAGUAGGUGCUCGAUAAGUAUGUGGCGAAUGAGUGCGUGCGCGCUGUGGCAGUUUCUAGGAAGACAGGCCCCCCCUUGCUGAGAACCCUCUAGAACAAUGUGGGCUCUCCCUGUGGGUGAAUGUGGUCCCCAGGUGGGUCGCCGGCCCUAAGUGGGCCCAAAGCCGCGGAAGAAACACGAGUGACGCGUCCUGUCCCCCUGAGGUGCCCCCUCGUCCGCAGACAGAGCCGGGGGCGUGGGGCGGACCCGCCAAGCUCUCCUGCCCUCACCUCCUCCUUCUCUCCGCCCUGCAGGUCCCUCCACUCCUCGAUGGGCUGCCCCAGGUCCACGGUGUUCAUGGGCACCUUCACCUCCCCGAUGAUGUCGUGUUUGGAGAAGCGGUCAAAGUCGUAGAUGGCCAUCACCAGGGUCUUGCCCCCCAGCUCCUGGAGGAAGACCUUGACAUAAGGGUCCGAGGUGCCGCCCAUGUCCAGGGCGGGGAGCUCCGCGGCCUGCAGGACGCCCACGCCGGGGUGCCCGCCCCGUGGAGCCCUGGGGGCCGCCCCCGCGCCGCACACCUGGUUGGCCUGGAAGUCGUAGUCCAGGGAGAACUGCAGCUUCCCCAGGUUCUCCGGCUCCUCGGCCUCACCCUCGCCCUCGCCCUCCGUCAGGCCCGUCUCGGCGUCGUCAUCGUCCUGGGGGGCUGAGGAGGGGAGGGAGGGUCAAGGGAGAAAAGGCGGGGUGCCUGCCCCCGUGCAGACCCCAACCCAGAGCUGGAGGGGCUCCGUCGGGCCCCGCUUCCCCUCAGCCCCCAGCCCGGCCCUGUCCCUGCGGGGCCAGCACGGCCCAGAUGCCACGCGGCUUCUUGAGUGGCGGAGCCUCCCUGUGACCCCCGCCCCGCCCCCAGCUCAGGCCACCACGUGGGCAGCACGUACCAGGCGUGCAGGCCGGGCGUCCAGGCCAGGCGAGUCCACAGGUGGGAGGAGAAGGGAGAGAGUGGUAAGAAAAUCCUGCAGCUCAGACCAGCCGCAUGGCAGGGCCGGGGCCCCCACAGGCUCACACGCACACGCACGUCCACGUGCGUGCUCACACACGCUCUCACACACGUGUGCACGUGCACGCACAAACUCAAAGGCCACGGCCCCUGGCUGACCUCCUGAGAUCAGCCCUCCUUCCUCCCUCCACACUGAUUCCUUGAGCAAGAAAUUCCUCCCAGAACAAACAUGGGGAAAGUGAGGCGCCCGGGGCCUCUGCAAACUUAAAAGGAGACACAGGUACAUCAGGGCGUCUUCCAGGCUCCUCCCUGAAAGAUGGGGAGAAGAGCCACGUCCUUGUGGACGAGAGACGGACCCACAGGGCCCCACAAUGAGGACAUGGUCCAGCAGCCCUGCCGGUGGGAAACCGGGUCACACGAUGGUGGCUUCCUGGUGGGCGGGGGUCUCUCUUCCCAGCAUUUUGUCCCAACGGCCUCCUUUCGGGUCAGUCAAGGACAGUCCCUGCUGACCUGAGCGAGCUCUUCCCACCUGGAGAGCAUCGAGGGGCCUCUGGUCACCCGGCCCCGCCUACCUGGCCACCCUUCAUGUCCUUCAUGUUCAUGGCGUUCUUGGCGCCCUUGCCCUUCUCCUUCUUGUUCUUCUUCUUCUUCCAGCAGCACUUCUUGCAGAUGCAGAAGCAGCAGGCGAGGAGCAGAAGGCCCAGGAGCACCGCGAUGGCGCCCAGCGCCCAGGGGGGCACUGCCCACAGGGAGAUGGGGUCAGCGGCGCUCGGGCAGCCCCGACCCCUCAGGGAUAGAAAGCUGGGUCGGGGCCCGGCCCUGCUGCCGCACCCCGCGUUGUAAACCCACGUUAAGUUGCAUACUUCGGUGCCCUCCCCUUUCUGCCGCCCCAGCGGGGACAGCCUGUGACAGGGACAGCAGCCAGGCGCAUACCACGGGGCCCCCAUCUGGGCUCUGCUGAGAUCUAACGACUUUGACCCUUGGAACUGCGGCUUACACGAAGGAUGGGAGGGUCCUCAUCAGACCCCGGUGGGGUAGGAAGGCCCGGCCCUCAGGCGCAGUCCUGAGAGGGCUGAGCCUGCUCCAGGAGGCCGGGCUCAGAGGGCCCACGGGUUUGGGGAAGUGCGGGGAGGGGCGGGCCGCGGGCCGGCCGGGGCUGCUCUCCGAGGUGCUGAAGCACCGCCUCCCACCAGUGGGGCUGCUCCCCGAAUCCGGACCUCGGGUUUCUCCCCACAGCCUUUACCAGAAAUCCAGGAAGCAGUAGGGGGUUUUAUUUUCUAUCUUGCAAAAUAAAGUAGUUUUAAAGUAUGACUGGAAAACUUGAA